rnacentral:rRNA from 1 species
UGGAUCAUGUUGUUUAAUUCGAUGAUACGCGAAGAACCUUACCAGGUCUUGACAUCCCCUGCAAAGCUAUGGAGACAUAGUGGAGGUUAUCAGGGAGACAGGUGGUGCAUGGUUGUCGUCAGCUCGUGUCGUGAGAUGUUGGGUUAAGUCCCGCAACGAGCGCAACCCUUAUUGCUAGUUACCAUCAUUGAGUUGGGGACUCUAGCGAGACUGCCAGUGAUAAACUGGAGGAAGUGGGGAUGACGUCAAAUCAUCAUGCCCCUUAUGACCUGGGCUACAAACGUGAUACAAUGGCUGAAACAAAGGGCAGCGAAGCAGUGAUGUGGAGCGAAACCCAAAAAGCAGUCUCAGUUCGGAUUGAAGUCUGCAACUCGACUUCAUGAAGUCGGAAUCGCUAGUAAUCGCGGAUCAGAACGCCGCGGUGAAUACGUUCUCGGGGUUU